GACGAACGCUGGCGGCGUGCUUAACACAUGCAAGUCGAACGGGAUUUAGUAAACGGAAGCCUCGGUGGAAGAUUACUAAUGAGAGUGGCGAACGAGUGAGUAACGCGUGAGCAACCUGCCUAUGACAGUGGGAUAGCCUCGGGAAACCGGGAUUAAUACCGCAUAAAAUCGUAGAAACACAUGUUUCAACGGUCAAAGAUUUAUCGGUCAUAGAUGGGCUCGCGUCUGAUUAGCUAGUUGGUGAGAUAACAGCCCACCAAGGCGACGAUCAGUAGCCGGUCUGAGAGGAUGAACGGCCACAUUGGAACUGAGACACGGUCCAAACUCCUACGGGAGGCAGCAGUGGGGAAUAUUGCACAAUGGGGGAAACCCUGAUGCAGCGACGCCGCGUGAACGAAGAAGGUAUUCGUAUCGUAAAGUUCUGUCCUAUGGGAAGAUAAUGACAGUACCAUAGAAGAAAGCUCCGGCUAAAUACGUG
rnacentral:rRNA from 1 species